rnacentral:rRNA from 1 species
GAUGAACGCUGGCGGCGUGCCUAAUACAUGCAAGUCGAGCGAACAGACGAGGAGCUUGCUCCUCUGGCGUUAGCGGCGGACGGGUGAGUAACACGUGGAUAACCUACCUAUAAGACUGGGAUAACUUCGGGAAACCGGAGCUAAUACCGGAUAAUAUAUUGAACCGCAUGGUUCAAUAGUGAAAGACGGUUUUGCUGUCACUUAUAGAUGGAUCCGCGCCGCAUUAGCUAGUUGGUAAGGUAACGGCUUACCAAGGCGACGAUGCGUAGCCGACCUGAGAGGGUGAUCGGCCACACUGGAACUGAGACACGGUCCAGACUCCUACGGGAGGCAGCAGUAGGGAAUCUUCCGCAAUGGGCGAAAGCCUGACGGAGCAACGCCGCGUGAGUGAUGAAGGUCUUCGGAUCGUAAAACUCUGUUACUAGGGAAGAACAAAUGUGUAAGUAACUAUGCACGUCUUGACGGUACCUAAUCAGAAAGCCACGGCUAACUACGUG